NNNNNNNNNNGACCAGUGACAAGAGGACAGGCAGACAGGGACAAGAGCGGGAGCAGCCACCAGGCCCAGAUUCUCCCCCGGGAGCCUUAGGAGGGAAGCGGGCCGCCCUCCCCGAGACGAUACACACACCCACACCGCUGUGGGUUUAUCACACCAGGGGUCUUCAGCGCUUCCCCCCACGCUCGGCCUCGGGCUGGUGCCUGGGAACAGAGGGGGCCCCGGGUCUAGGCGGUGGGGCAGGGCGAGGGCAGGGAUCUGGCAAGGGGGAUCGGGGAGCCUGGGCAGGAUCUGGGGGAGUGGGGACAGGCCAGGCCAGCUCCCGGGGCGGCCACUGCAGAGGGUGGGGGGAAGGCCACAUUCAGACGGCUGGGGGCAUUGAAGGCCCCCAUGGUGCCCUGCUGGGUGGGGGUCUUGGCACCUCCCUGGAAGACUCUGCCAGAUCCCCCCACAGCCACCCCAGGAGCUACACUGGGCACAGACACGGAGGUCGGCCAAGGCUGCCCAAGGCCCCGGCAGCAAGGAGGAGAUGGAGAUGCAGUGGGCGGGGCCUCUCAGACACACGCCCACAGCGCCUGGGCCGGGCAGCAGGUCCUGGAGGUGCCGGUCACCUCCCCAUGCUCAUGGUGGCUGGGGGGUGGGCACAGUGGCAGCAGCUUCUUAGGCUCUCCCCCCGACUCCAGGGCCUGGGGGGGAGGGGCUUCUCCGGGAGCAGCGCCCCCACCCCGGGCUGGUUCGCUCCCCAAAUGCCUGCAACGGCCAGGGCUGGGCUAGGCUGGAGCUGGGCGCUAAGAGCUCCUUCCGGGUCUCCUGCGUGGGAGAGGUGGGAAGGACCCCGGGGAGCCUCUGGAGGGGGGGCAGCCCCAGGGACGCUGGGACUUUGGUCUUCUGCCCUCCAGAGCGCUGACAGCUCUGGGGUUGGAGGCCUGCCCCUUGCUGGUUCUCUGUGGCAACAGCUCCAGGACACCAACGCGUGGCUCCCCCCACACCCUGCUGUCCCCCCUUCCCAGGCCAACAAACAGGAAGUCCCAAACACCCGCCCUUCCAGGAGCCGCAGCUGGGCUCAUCAGAUCCGCCACCACGCCCCGUCCACACCUGCUCCCAAUCCCCUCUCUACACCUUUUUUUUUUAAGCCCGAAAACGAAAAGAACCCCAGUGAGAGCG
rnacentral:lncRNA from 1 species